CGCAAUGCGACCUCUUUGACCGAAUAUGGCGAAUCCUAUCUGUUUGUGCGCGCAACGCGAAUCCUCCCCGUCGAUGAAUCAUGUGGAUCAGCGCGCCCAGGCCCACCGGGUCCCAACCAACGAUUCCCUAGUUCUUUUUUCCCACGGUUAUACGACCGGAUACAGUCACAUCGUAUCUGUCCAGGCGACCAGGCCCCUACACCAUUGAGCUGCGCGCCUACACCAUCACUCGGUUGCCCCAUCCACCCCAGCGAUUUAUAACUUGCCAAAUUUCGAUUCCCAGACUCCAGAUCUAGCCUCAUGGUUUGUUCUGCUGCUCCUGAAAUCGAUGGCGGCCCGCCUCUCCGACGUCCUCCUCCACGGCGAGCCGCCCAAGCACCGUAAUGCAUUUUCUUCCCCCAUCAGCGCUUCACCAAGCAGCAGCACAUGGAGUUGGAGGCAAGAAGAGGAGGAGCAAGAAGGGGAGGACGCGGGCGACUAGUUCCUCCCCUGAGCUCGAAGGCCGAGGGCCCAGAUCCGCGGUUGUUCUUCCCAAAUCUUGAUGCCAUUUGCUUUCCUGCGAUUCUUCAUAUGUUGCUGUUAGUUUUUGUUGGGUUGCUAAGAAGAAUCAGGAGGAGCCGUCCUCUGCUCCUUCUCAAAAUUUCCCUCCCAGAUCUGUAUUCUUGGGCAUCGAUUUUUUAUCUUUUGCUUGACCAUCAAUCGCGGAUCCGGCUUGCCUGCUCUCUUCCCGUGCUCUCAUCCGUGCUCCCACCUCAUCCAACGGCUGUCUUUUUUUCUUUUUUCUUUCUAAUCUAAUCAUCUCCCCCCUGAUUUUAAGGGGUGGGGCCGGGCCUUAUUUUGUUCCAAUCAAAUCAAGCCACGUAUGCGGGAGCACGGAUGGGCACACGGGAGGGGAGCAGGCAAGUCUCGUCCAUCAACCGCACGUACUUAUUACUUAAGAUUUUUUGUGCUGCUGUGUUGGAUUUGGGGGUGAGGCUUUUUUUUCUGGUGCGGUCAGCACUGAUGGUGUAUGAAUUACGAUGUGGUGUGUGUGCUGCCUUGCUAAUCUCCUCAAAUUCUGGAUCUCAUGUCUCACAUACAACAUUUUAGAAAAAUGCAUUUAAUUUUAUGACCAGCCUGACAUGUCCUCGUAUCAUGUAUAUAUCAUAUGUGAUGUAGUGUUUAGUGAUGACAAUAUCACAAUAAGUGUGAGACAGAACCAAAGGUAGGAAACCAUACCGAAUGUGCCAUAUAACCGUCGAUGCGCACUUUAUAUCCUCGGUUAUGGUCCUGUUAUGGUUGACCGUGAAGAACUUUAAAAAUAACAACCAUAUAUACUCGAAGGCGGGUCUCUUUCACCCGACCAUGAAGAACUUUAAUGUUAUAUCGAUUGGUAAGUUUUUUCACUAGGGAUUGGGAAAACAACCUCAUAAUUAUUGUGAUAUUUUCAUCACUGGACACUACGUCCCAUAUAACCUUCGAUGUGCACUUUAUAUCAUCGGUUCCGGUCUCCUUAUGGUCGACCACGAAGAACUUUAGAGAUAGCAGCCAUAUGUACUCGAAGUCGGGUCUCUUUCAUCCGACCAUGAAGAACUUUAAUGUUAUAUCGAUUGACAAGUUUUUUCACUAGGGAUUUGGGAAACAACCUUAUAAUUAUUGUGAUAUUUUCAUCACUGGACACUACGUCCCAUAUAACCUUCUAUGCACAUUUUAUAUCCUCGGUUCCAGUCCUUUUAUGGUCGAAUGCGAAGAACUUUAGAGAUAGCAACCAUAUGUACUCAAAGGGGGGCCUCUUUCAUCCGACCAUGAAGAACUUUAAUGUUAUAUCGAUUGGUAAGUUUUUUCACUAGGGAUCUUGGAAAACGACCCCAUAACUAAAUUAAAAAAUUUAUAUUUACAAAAUAUAUUAAAAAUAUAUUAAGACAUUUCUAUUUGUAGUGCAAAGUUGUGUUGAGGAGGUGAGCAUCUGCCAGCCGCAGCAUACUGGUGACGUGCUAGCUGUGCCCCGCGAUGGAUUAGUUAAUUUUUUAAACUGUAGUCUCAGAGAUUCUUGAGUCAUUAUGUAGUGUACACUUUUGUUUCCCUGUGUAAACGUUUUUUGGCAACUUCAAAGAACUUUUUGUAGUGCAACGGACGACUCCUUGCAAUCGAAUCUCUACGCUGUAAAGGCUCAUGAGGUCCUUUUUUACCAACAGUCCCGGUACGUUACUUGCUCACCACAAAGAACUUUUUUGCAUCGGAUAUUUAAUCCUUGUGAAUAAAUAAAUUAAUAUACACGUGUAAAAAUUAGUACAGUACUAUUACUUAAACUUACGACUAGUACUCACGUCAAGGGAUGCUAUUUAGCAUGUAAUCUUCGCGCUAGAUAAUACUAAUAGGAGAAGCAGACGGAAUGGUGCAUGCUGUACAGUAGGGUAGGAUCGAAUCUUAUAACUUGGCCCCACAGUACGACGCGUCAGGUGGAAUACUGCUCAUAUACACCAGCAUCAAUCUAUUCGGGAGUCUAUUACACCGGAGAUACCUUGCAGAUCUGACAGCAUAGUGGACCUAGUGAUGUGACAUGCAUGGCUGAUGUGCGGCCGAGAUACAAGUUGUGCGGGCAACGAGUUAGACAAAAUCCACGUCCCUCUUUGACAUGUUAUCAUCAUCAAGAAAUCUUGCGAAGAGCCAUUUCCAGGAAGCGGCCAUGGCCGCCGGACACCCUCUGCCUACCGACCUAGCAUUGCUCCACCAGCAACUCCUGCUGAGGCCUCGUGUUCUGGGCGAGCUGCGUGCCCUGACGAGCACCGUCGUGUCCAUUGAUCACAUAGCCUCCAUUCUGGACAAGGCGCUCAGAUCCAGCACUCCAAGACAAGUGCAGGUGGAUCCUCCGGCUCCUGAAAUGCACGCCAAGGCUCUCAGCGUGGUGUCGAGGAAGAGAUCAAAGUAUGAUGCCCGGAGGAGCUUCCUUCGCUCAAAGGCUUGAGCAACUGCUGGAGAACUAUGCGUCGCAGCAUUUCUGGGAACCAAGAUAUAGGGUGAACUUCAUCUGUGGCGUGGAGGCACUCGGCGGCGGCUGGACAGCAUACGGCAAGCGUUACACUGUCAAUUUCAUGGCUGCUUCUGAAUCACCGCUUCAAAUCAACACCCUCUUCUUCGCUGAAUUCGGGGAAUCGGAGCCUGGUCAUUGGUUUGGGAACCGUGGUCCGAAUGCUGCUGAGCCAAAGCCAGAUUUCUGCUGCCCUUUGCCCCCUCCAUA